CGGGAAGCUGUCUGGAGCCCGCGCUCUGGGCGGUUUCCCACCUGGCAGUAGAGUCGCUUGGGAGUCCAGGCGCUGGAGGGGUUACCCGUCGUUUGCAGGGAGAGGCGGAGGCCGAGCGCCGUGGUCUGGCCAGAACUACCCAGACGGGCCAGACCCCCUCAUCCCUGCUGCCCAGCACCCGCACACACCUGGGCGUGGGGAGUGAGUUUCCGCGUUGUCCCCUUUGCGGUUUUCUGGAGUUCAAACUAGAAUUCCAAUCUAUUUGGUUAAGCCCGAGCCAGCUGCUCCUGACGGCGUAUUAAGAACUCAGUGCCUCCCCCAAUCUGAAAUUGCAUUUUCAACAGUUUGGUGGAAAUCCUAACUACUAACCAUGUUUCACAUUAUUCACGUGUUAUCACUGACCGCCGUUUGGUUGGCACCCAUUUGGCUGUCCCAAAUCUCAGUAGAGGCCUGGUGUGGAAGAGCCCUUUUUUAGCGGUAUGGUUAUGCCAUUUUCCUGAUCUGGGCCUCUGGCAGUAUCUUGGGUGUGAAUUUGGUGUGGAUCGUGGCCUUUCCCCCUGUGCUCCUGGCGUUGUUGCCCAUGUGAUUGUGAUGUUUCACCUGCAGGCCUUUCUAGUCUGCCGAUGAGCCCAGCUUGUGGCACCAGGAAACAGGUGCAGAACAGGAGCAGUUCCUGUCGGAGACCUGGCUACUCACAGGACCCGGGGCCAUGACUGCUGCUGCUUUUCACCUGGAGACACAGAGGUUCCCCUUUCCCUGACAGUUUCUGCCACUGUUUUUGGAGCAACUGGAACUGAGAGCUGAAGGCUGAGGCUGAUUGACAGAGUAACCAGAAAGUGAAAACCAAAGGAAGACAGUGUCCUGAAUAGAGUGGACUCUUGAGCCAUUUUUCUGAGGAGCCGCCACUCCAUAGAGGGGACAUCAGUUGUGUUCAGGAGGACAGGGAGAAAGAGAAACUACCUCUUCAAACAUCACUGAAUCACUGGGAAACUUGGGUGCUCCUGGGACCAAGAGUUUGGAGAAGGAAGAGUAAGGAAGUAAGCAAAGAGGAAUUUGUUGACAGUUGCAAGCAAAGUAGAAAUAGAUUAGAUGAAUUGGUGUUGGGGAACCUGGAGAGGAAUGUUUAGAGCAAAGAAGACAAGAGGCAUGAAUAGAGGCAUGGCAUGACUUUCAAGCUGUGGAAACGUGAACAGUAAAGUACGACGGACAAUAGGUUGGAUGGAUGUUCCCUGGAGCUGCAGGUGCAGUGGCUGCCACAAGGCGGUGCUCUGACUACAUCUACUUUGGCUUCCACUGUGCUUUUCAUUUUCCCACUCCUCUCUCCUCUUUAAGGGCUCUAACUAGAGGUCUGUCACACUCCAGCCAUAGUCAGCCAGCCUGUUAUUAGUGCCAAGCCAUCCUCCUGGAGCAAUGACAGUGUAAAUUUCAGCAGUGGCAGAAAGGGGACAAAUACAGCUGUUGUGCAUUUUAGAAUAAUUGCCACAGACCAUUUAGAGAUAGCUUUAUAAUAACGGCACUUAUACAGACUUAUACAAUAUUUCCCUUUUCUGUUUUAUUCCUCCCUCAACACUUUGCAACAUGAAUGUGUUAAUCCGCUCAUCUUGUGAGUCUAGAAUUAUCUGCUCCCUAAUUUUCUUUUCUUUUACUUCAUUUCAUGUGUUUAUGUUUAAAGCGACUGGCCUUUCUUUGGGCAAUUAGGAUGGUUCAGGUAGAAACCUGUGUUCUGUCUGCUCCCCAGUUUUACAAAAGGAGGCUUGCAGUCCCAGGGAAGAUACCAUUCGGCCUUUUCCUACCUUAUUCCUUCUGCUGGGAGUUCCACUCUUCCUGCCCUCGCCUUUUCCCAACACAAAUGCUAUUUGUGAAACCCCUCUUCUCACCCCACCCCAAGUCUGGCUCCUCUUUUUGCUUCCAUUGUCCCGAGUUCACUUACCAGCUAGCUAGUGUUUAUCUCAUUGUGUGCUCAGUGUUUCUUAUCUAUCACCUCUAUUCCAAGUUCCUUGAACUUUCUUUAUAUUCCCCAGUGUCCACCACAACUCCCACAUAGUGAGCACAUGGAUGGCUGGAUAAAUAAAACAGGCUCCAGCAGGUCAAAGCCCUUGCCCCAUCUUGAGUCCGCAGCAGAGUUGGAAAUAUCCAGAAAUUUAGACCCGAACCAGAAUAUCUUACUGGCUGCUGUGGUUGACCGUGGUCUCUCCACAGAAAAGUUCUAAAUGGGCCUAAAGGGAGAAGCCCUGGGUCCUGCAGUGCGCCACAGAUCCAGAGAUGCCCAGAGCUGGCACAGCAAGACUUCAAGGCCCAUAAUGUGUGCAGAAGGCCUGGACGAUGCAGAUUACUAAGACCACCUGCCUUACAUGGCAGUUGAAGCAGCGUCCUGGAACCGAUGUCCUCAGAGGCAUGACAAGAAGCAGCAAACCAUGUGAUCCCAUGUUCCUCUAGUUUUUUUUGGGGGGGGCUGGGGGACGGACAUCUCUCUCCAGGUGACUGUGAGACCCCUGAAUUUUAGCACCCUCUGAGAGAAUCAAAGAGGCAUGAACUCCCCGUGUCUGGAUCCAGUGUGUAUCCUUUGCAUGGCUUGCUGGCUGGCUCUGGACCAAACCCGCCAAAAGCGAUCUUGCUCUGAACCCGAGUCAUCGUUCCCGCCCAUCCUUUCUGAGAUGGUGGAGGAAGGACAGCAUAUUGGGUAUGGUUGUGAAAAACCUCAUCCCUUUUGGUGUGUCCUCUUUCUUGCGUAAACCAAACUUCUUUUCUGCCCGUCUGUUAAUUCUUCCCUCCCUCUCUUUGUUCCAUCCUCCUUAUGUAUUUAAUGAGUACUCACUAGGUGCCAAGCUCUGUGCUGGAGAAACAAAGAUGAAUUAGGUACAGUGCUCUACCUUCAAAGAAUCCACAGGAUUCUGGAAGAGACAGGAAGGUCACAAUAAUACUUGCAUAAAUGCCAUAAUGUAGGAGGUAUCUGUGAGACCCUGGAAGUUCAAGGGAGUGGGCCAUAGCACACUAGCAGGUGUUUGGUAGCCAGCUGGUGGGAGGAGCGCUGACUGGUAGUGUUUGCCGAUGUCCAACGUCUGUGUGGCAGACAUUCCCAUCAUGGCUGCUCUCAAGCUACUAACCUGAUGUCACUGAACAGAGUUGGGAAGGGAUGUACACAGUUGGCCCUUUUGAUGCAGUAAGAGCCAUUUCUAGUAUACCACCAUGACUUCCCCCUCUAAGGCCCUGAGCAGAGAACCCAUUCAAGCUGUACCUGGGUUUCUGACUUACAGAACCAUGAGCUCACAAACGAGUUUGGUUUUAAGCUGCUAAGUGUGUAGGGAUUUGUUUUGUUGCCAUAGAAAACUAAACAGAGCCUAUUAUACCCUUUUUACAGAUGUGAAAACUGAAGCUUAAAAACAGUAAGCAAUUUGACCACGGCCAUGAGCAUCUAGCAAGUGAUGGGGCUGGGAGGGCAACUGAGAUGUGUCAGAUUCCAAAGCCUGGGAAACUUACUCCUGUGUUCCAUGACUUCCCAUAGAAAACCAUGUCACAUAGCCAGGAAGGGCCAGGGUCAUGGGGGAUACUAUUCCUCUGUUCCUUCGUCCGUUCGUUCGUUCAUUCGUUCAUUUAUUCAUUCAUUCAUUUUUAAGGACCAGGAGAAAAUGUGCGUCGUUAUUAAAAAUGAAAUUCUGAGCCAGAAGAAAAUCAAAUGUUGAGUGCGGCUUUGUACUUGAAGUGGUGUCCCAGUGGUUACCUUGAUAUUUAUUUCAGAGGAUAAUGCUAUAGAGUAAAAGAAGUUUCACAUGGGACUGUACUCAUUAAAUAUUUGAUUUCGGCUAGAGUGUCCAUUUCUACUUUUCUGCUCCAGCCUGACCAGAUGUGCUCAGAAAAUGUGGUUUCCCCUGAAUAUGUACAUCUGUCAAAAUUCCUGUCAAUGUUAGCACAACUGCCAAGAGAGUGAACAAAGAGAGUUAGUGAUUAACUUCAAAGAAUUUUGUUGGAGAGGAAUAAAGAUAUUUAAGGUCUGUUUUGUGAACUAA